rnacentral:misc_RNA from 1 species
GAAAUGCGAUAAGUAAUGUGAAUUGCAGAAUUCAGUGAAUCAUCGAAUCUUUGAACGCAUCUUGCGCUCCUUGGUAUUCCUUGGAGCAUGCCUGUUUGAGUGUCAUGAAAUCUUCAAAGUAAAUCUUUUGUUAACUCAAUUGGUUUCUACUUUGGUAUUGGAGGUCUUUGCAGCUUCACACCUGCUCCUCUUUGUUCAUUAGCUGGAUCUCAGUGUUAUGCUUGGUUCCACUCGGCGUGAUAAGUUAUCUAUCGCUGAGGACACUGUAAAAGGUGGCCAAGGUAAAUGCAGAUGAACCGCUUCUAAUAGUCCAUUGACUUGGACAAUACUUUUAUGAUCUGAUCUCAAAUCAGGUAGGACUACCCGCUGAACUUAAGC